rnacentral:rRNA from 1 species
UACGUAGGGUGCGAGCGUUAAUCGGAAUUACUGGGCGUAAAGCGUGCGCAGGCGGUUAUUUAAGUCAGGUGUGAAAGCCCUGGGCUUAACCUAGGAAUUGCGCUUGAGACUGGAUAGCUUGGAGUGCGGCAGAGGGAGGUGGAAUUCCACGUGUAGCAGUGAAAUGCGUAGAGAUCCGGAAGAACACCGGAGGCGAAGGCGGCUUGCUGGACCUGGUCUGACGCUGAGGCGCGAAAGCGUGGGGAGCGAACAGG